CAAGGAUUCCCCUAGUAACUGCGAGUGAAGCGGGAAAAGCUCAAAUUUAAAAUCUGGCAGUCUCUGGCUGUCCGAGUUGUAAUCUAGAGAAGUAAUGCCCGUGCUGGACCGUGUAUAAGUCUCCUGGGAUGGGGCGUCAUAGAGGGUGAGAAUCCCGUCUUUGACACGGACUACCAGUGCAUUGUGGUAUGCUCUCAAAGAGUCGAGUUGUUUGGGAAUGCAGCUCAAAAUGGGUGGUAAAUUCCAUCUAAAGCUAAAUAUUGGCGAGAGACCGAUAGCGAACAAGUACCGUGAGGGAAAGAUGAAAAGAACUUUGGAAAGAGAGUUAAAAAGUACGUGAAAUUGCUGAAAGGGAAACGCUUGAAGUCAGUCGCGUUGGCCGGGAAUCAGCCUUGCUUCUGCACGGUGUACUUUCUGGUUGACGGGUCAGCAUCAAUUUUGACCGCUGGAAAAAGGCCUGGGGAAUGUGGCAGCUUCGGCUGUGUUAUAGCCCCUAGUCGCAUACAGUGGUUGGGAUUGAGGAACUCAGCACGCCGCAAGGCCGGGUUUCGACCACGUUCGUGCUUAGGAUGCUGGCAUAAUGGCUUUAAGCGACCCGUCUUGAAACACGGACCAAGGAGUCUAACAUGCCUGCGAGUAUUUGGGUGGAAAACCCAAGUGCGUAAUGAAAGUGAAAGUUGAGAUCCCUGUCGCGGGGAGCAUCGACGCCCGGACCAGAACUUUUGGGACGGAUCCGCGGUGGAGCAUGUAUGUUGGGACCCGAAAGAUGGUGAACUAUGCCUGAAUAGGGUGAAGCCAGAGGAAACUCUGGUGGAGGCUCGUAGCGAUUCUGACGUGCAAAUCGAUCGUCAAAUUUGGGUAUAGGGGCGAAAGACUAAUCGAACCAUCUAGUAGCUGGUUCCUGCCGAAGUUUCCCUCAGGAUAGCAGAAACUCAUAUCAGAUUUAUGUGGUAAAGCGAAUGAUUAGAGGCCUUGGGGUUGAAACAACCUUAACCUAUUCUCAAACUUUAAAUAUGUAAGAACGAGCCGUUUCUUGAUUGAACCGCUCGGCGAUUGAGAGUUUCUAGUGGGCCAUUUU
rnacentral:rRNA from 1 species